rnacentral:rRNA from 1 species
AACGAACGCUGGCGGCAGGCUUAACACAUGCAGGUCGAACGGAUCCCUCGGGAUUAGUGACGCACGGGUGAGUAACGCGUGGGAAUGUACCCCUUGGUAAGGAAUAAUAUCUGGAAACGGAUACUAAUACCUUAUAAUGACUUUGGUCCAAAGAUUUAUCGCCAAGGGAUCAGCCCGCGUCUGAUUAGGUAGUUGGUGAGGUAACGGCUCACCAAGCCGACGAUCAGUAGCUGGUCUGAGAGGAUGAUCAGCCACACUGGGACUGAGACACGGCCCAGACUCCUACGGGAGGCAGCAGUGAGGAAUAUUGGACAAUGGGGGAAACCCUGAUCCAGCCAUGCCGCGUGAGUGAAGAAGGCCUUAGGGUUGUAAAGCUCUUUCAAUGGUGAAGAUAAUGACGGUAGCCAUAGAAGAAGCCCCGGCUAAAUUCGUGCCAGCAGCCGCCGUAA